rnacentral:rRNA from 1 species
AACGAACGCUGGCGGCAGGCCUAAAACAUGCAAGUCGAACGAACCUUCGGGUUAGUGGCGCACGGGUGAGUAACGCGUGGGAAUAUCCCCUUCACUGCGGAACAACGUCGGGAAACUGACGCUAAUACCGCAUAAUGACUCCGGUCCAAAGAUUUAUCGGUGAAGGAUUAGCCCGCGUUAGAUUAGCUAGUUGGUGAGGUAACGGCUCACCAAGGCGACGAUCUAUAGGGGGUCUGAGAGGAUGAUCCCCCACACUGGAACUGAGACACGGUCCAGACUCCUACGGGAGGCAGCAGUUAGGAAUAUUGGACAAUGGGGGCAACCCUGAUCCAGCCAUGCCGCGUGUGUGAAGAAGGCCUUAGGGUUGUAAAGCACUUUCGGCUGUGAAGAUAAUGACAGUAGCAGAAGAAGAAGCUCCGGCUAAAUUCGUG